AGAGACAGGGAUUCACCAUGUUGGCCAAGAUGGUUUUGAACUCCUGACCUCAAGUGAUCCGCCCACCUCGGCCUCCCAAAGUGCUGGGAUUACAGGCGUGAACCACCUCACCUGGCCUGAAAGAACUUUCUGAAGGCCCCACACUGAGGAAACAUUUGCUGGGGCCCCAAACCCCACCAUCAGGCCCACACCAGCAGCUGGCCUCAGGGAGGGAGGGAACUGCUCUCUACACAAAAAUGGUUUUGAAAAUAACCCAGCCAAAGGGGAAUUGCUUCAUCCGUUGCACAUUCACUUCUCCCUUUCACUGUGCAAUUGAAGAAAAACAAGGUGAAACAGGAACCGACUCUCACCAUCACCACUCCCACCCCCAUGAAUUCCAUCGGACACGCUUGUGCGACAGCGGACUGGCUCUGGGUGCUGGCCUCCAACCACUGGUGGACUGUCCGUCCUGUGAGCCCCCCAGGGGCCGAUGCCCUCCCACUCUGCCUGCUCUGUUCUUAGCACAGCCCCUGGGCCCCCGUGGGAUCUCAGGAAAUACUUGCUAAACAUAGUAGCGGAGGGAAACGGAGCCCACAGCUCAGUGCAAAGACUCGGCGGCGUGGACUGAGGCUGCAGAAACGCGCUUUUCCUGCUAGAAGGGGACAUCCGCGUGGUCGGGAGUACCUCUGGGGCACGUGCCCUAAUUCCAGAAACAUCUAAGCAGGAGCAGAGUGGCACUGUAAUAGCUUACUGCAACCUUGAACUCCUGGCUUCAAGUGAUCCUCCCGUCUGGGCCUCCCAAAGCUCUGGGAUGACAGGUAUGAGCUACCGCUAUCAGCCACAACCGGGUUUUAAGAGUACUCCUCCAGCCCACUCCAGUGUCUUCCAUCAUUCUGGGCAAGUACCAAAAGAGGACCAAGCCCAGGAAGCCGCCAGCAGGCCUCUCACCAGCCAAGAUGGCUGGAAUCCUAAUAUCAAGAAAUGAAACUCCAGCAGGCCAUGGAAAUGCUAAGGGGUUGGCAUUUCUGCUCUAGAGAGAGCCAAAGAGAAAGCUCUAUUUAUAUCUCCUUGCGUUUGGUCGCAGCCUCAUCAACCAAAAGAACCUUCCGCCCCACUCAACACAUCAAUCAAAUUGGGGAGGGGUGUGAAUGGCAGCAGCGGGUGUUACAGAGGAGUCUCAAGGGUAUCUUAGAGGAUGCCUCUGAAAAGUCGUCCCCUCCAAAUCCCCCCAAGAUAAUUACUAGGAUAUUCUCCUUACCC